rnacentral:rRNA from 1 species
UACGGAGGGGGCUAGCGUUGUUCGGAAUUACUGGGCGUAAAGGGCGCGUAGGCGGCGCGACAAGUCACUUGUGAAAUCUCUGGGCUCAACCCAGAACGGUCAAGUGAUACUGUCGUGCUAGAGUGCGGAAGGGGCAACUGGAAUUCUUGGUGUAGCGGUGAAAUGCGUAGAUAUCAAGAGGAACACCUGCGGCGAAGGCGGGUUGCUGGGCCGACACUGACGCUGAGGCGCGAAAGCUAGGGGAGCGAACGGG